UACGUAGGGGGCUAGCGUUGUCCGGAAUCAUUGGGCGUAAAGAGCGUGUAGGCGGCCCGGUAAGUCCGCUGUAAAAGUCAAAGGCUCAACCUUUGAAUGUCAGUGGAUACUGCCGGGCUAGAGUCCGGAAGAGGCGAGUGGAAUUCCUGGUGUAGCGGUGGAAUGCGCAGAUAUCAGGAGGAACACCAAUAGCGAAGGCAGCUCGCUGGGACGUUACUGACACUGAGGCGCGAAAGCAUGGGGAGCGAACAGG
rnacentral:rRNA from 1 species